rfam:Picea glauca, whole genome shotgun sequence.
ACAUGCAUACAAAAUAACGUUAAUGCAUCGGAUCCCAUUAGAACUUUGUAGUUAAGCGCGCUCAUGCUAGAGUAGUACUAGGAUGGGUGACCACCUGGGAAGUCCUAGUGUUUUACAUUCC